GGAAUAUAAGAACCUGACUCUUAACUUUUAACUAAAAAAACUAAGAACCGGUUCUUAAGUAAGAGUUUUAAGAGACGGUUCUUAGUUUUUUUAGUUAAAAGUUAAGAGACGACGGUUCUUAUAUUCU
rfam:Brassica oleracea var. oleracea cultivar TO1000 chromosome C3, whole genome shotgun sequence